ACCGCCCACUCGGCGAACUGUCUCCGAGCGGAGCCGGGCUGGAUUGGAUUGGACCCCUGGGCGGGAAAGGACGGACGGGUUAAGUAGCCAAUCACCAAUUGCGCUCCAGCCAGAGGGGCGAUGUUCUUGGGGAGCCUGGGGAUCUGGAAGAAGUUCAGUGUGAGGACGAGUGUUAGGAAAUAAGGCUGAAGACAGAGGCAACCCUGGAGGAUCUUCUAACCCAUGUCAAGCAGUUGAGAAUUUAUGGAGUGAAAUAGCAAGCCAUUGAAGAGUUUCAAGCUUUCAUCCAGCUUUUAAGGGAAACUAAUAUCUCAUGAAAUUGUGAGGGCCUGGAAUCUUCAAAGAGCCAAGGAUUCUGCCAGACUGAGCAAUAGACUUGAUGAGCAUUCUCCACUUAAGAUCUGAACUAUGAGAAGUCGAAUCAAAGCAGUUCUUUUGUAAUUCCAAACAGCCAUUUAGACAUAUGAAGAAAUGAAAGUAAAGCAGUUCUAAAGACAAGGAAGAGGGUCAAUGAAAGAUCUACUUAAUCAGAAUCCUGACUGAAUUGACUCUGGGGAUCUGCCUUUUUACCAAGUUGCACAGAGGACCCUUGUGUAAAGUUUGAAAACAGUGUGAUAAGGCCAUCAUGAAGAUUAAAUGAGCCAUAUUCUAUGAAGCACCUGAAAUGUGCUCCCAAUGCAAUCACAAAGAUCUUUAAAAGUGGAAGAAGGUGGGAGAGGUCAGAGUGAUACGAAGAGAACUCAGUCUACCACUGCUGGCUUUGAAGAUGGAAGAAUGGGGCUAUGAGCCCUGGAUUGCGGGCAGCCUGCAGAAGCUGGGGCAGAGAUUCCACACAGGCACCUCUAGAAAAUAAUGCAGCCAGCCAAUCCUUAGACUUUAUCCCAGUGAGAGUCAAGUUGGACUUCUGACCUACAAAAGAGUAAAUAUCUAAAUUAUCUGUGGCAACAACUUGGUGGGGUCAACUCGAAUGUUUUUGUCG
rnacentral:lncRNA from 1 species